rnacentral:rRNA from 1 species
UGCAGCGACGCCGCGUGAGGGAUGACGGCCUUCGGGUUGUAAACCUCUUUCACCAGGGACGAAGCUAGCGUGACGGUACCUGGAGAAGAAGCACCGGCUAACUACGUGCCAGCAGCCGCGGUAAUACGUAGGGUGCGAGCGUUGUCCGGAAUUAUUGGGCGUAAAGAGCUUGUAGGCGGUUUGUCGCGUCUGCUGUGAAAGACCGGGGCUUAACUCCGGUUCUGCAGUGGGUACGGGCAGACUAGAGUGUGGUAGGGGAGACUGGAAUUCCUGGUGUAGCGGUGAAAUGCGCAGAUAUCAGGAGGAACACCGAUGGCGAAGGCAGGUCUCUGGGCCAUUACUGACGCUGAGAAGCGAAAGCAUGGGGAGCGAACAGGAUUAGAUACCCUGGUAGUCCAUGCCGUAAACGUUGGGCGCUAGGUGUGGGACUCAUUCCACGAGUUCCGUGCCGCAGCUAACGCAUUAAGCGCCCCGCCUGGGGAGUACGGCCGCAAGGCUAAAACUCAAAGGAAUUGACGGGGGCCCGCACAAGCGGCGGAGCAUGCGGAUUAAUUCGAUGCAACGCGAAGAACCUUACCAAGGCUUGACAUACACCGGAAUCAUGCAGAGAUGUGUGCGUCUUCGGA